rnacentral:misc_RNA from 2 species
UAUGGAACCACCGUUGUGUGCUCCGUGCAUUACGUCGAAGGCAAAUACGCCCUCUAAUCAACUCCGUAACUUGCUCGGGUUGGUGGGGCUUGACAAGACAAUCAAG